AUACGUAGGGUGCGAGCGUUGUCCGGAAUUACUGGGCGUAAAGAGCUCGUAGGUGGUUUGUCGCGUCGUCUGUGAAAUUCCGGGGCUUAACUCCGGGCGUGCAGGCGAUACGGGCAUAACUUGAGUACUGUAGGGGAGACUGGAAUUCCUGGUGUAGCGGUGAAAUGCGCAGAUAUCAGGAGGAACACCGGUGGCGAAGGCGGGUCUCUGGGCAGUAACUGACGCUGAGGAGCGAAAGCAUGGGCAGCGAACAGGAUUAGAUACCCUGGUAGUCCAUGCCGUAAACGGUGGGCGCUAGGUGUAGGGGUCUUCCACGACUUCUGUGCCGUAGCUAACGCAUUAAGCGCCCCGCCUGGGGAGUACGGCCGCAAGGCUAAAACUCAAAUGAAUUGACGGGG
rnacentral:rRNA from 1 species